rnacentral:rRNA from 1 species
CCCUUAGAUGUUCUGGGCCGCAUGCGCGCUACACUGAUGCAUUCAACGAGCCUAUCCUUGACCGACAGGUCCGGGUAAUCUUUGAAUCUGCAUCGUGACGGGGAUAGAUUAUUGCAAUUAUUAAUCUUCAACGAGGAAUGCCUAGUAGGCGCAAGUCAUCAGCUUGCGUCGAUUACGUCCCUGCCCUUUGUACACACCGCCCGUCGCUCCUACCGAUUGGGUGUGCUGGUGAAAUGUUCGGAUCGGCCGUUUGUCGCGGUUUCCGCGGCUCGUGGCUGAGAAGUUCAUUAAACCCUCCCACCUAGAGGAAGGAGAAGUCGUAACA